CCUACGGGUGGCAGCAGUAGGGAAUUUUCCACAAUGGGCGAAACCCUGACGGAGCAACGCCGCGUGGUCGAAGAAGCUCUUCGGAGCGUAAAACUCUGUCAGUGGGGACGAAAGCUGACGGUACCAACAGAUGACGCAUCGACUAACUCCGUGCCGGCAGCCGCGGCAAUACGGGGGGUGGAAGCGUUGGCCGGAAUCAGGGGGCGUAAAGAGUUCGUAGGUGGUACUUUAAGUCUGGUGUUAAAGGCGGAAGCUCAACUUCCGUAGGGCACUGGAUACUGGCGAGCUUGAAUGCGGUAGAGGUAAAGGGAACUCCAGGUGUAGCGGUGAAAUGCGUAGAUAUCAGGAGGAACACCGGUGGCGUAAGCGCUUUACUGGGCCGUAAUUGACACUGAGGAACGAAAGCCGGGGUAGCAAAUGGGAUUAGAUACCCGAGUAGUC
rnacentral:rRNA from 1 species